AGCUGUAUGUACGCGAGGUGUAUCUGGGUCCUGGCAAGCUACUACUGGGCUACCUCCCACCAGAAGUCAAGGUCCAACAAACUCCAACCAACCUACCCACAAGCUGCUGCAACAUCUGCUUCUAAAACUACAACCCUCACCCAACUUCCCUGUGAUUCUUAAUUUGAAAACAUUUGCGUUUUCCUGUUUGCUGCAUAUGACUGAAGGCUACAGAUUGAUUCACUGCAGUUUCACGUCUGCCCUGAUAGUGAGAUCACAAGCAGACGCAGGACACCAUAAAUGGGCUUUACAACUGACUGAAGGGAAGUUGCAUGAAUCAUCGAUUAUUGUAUUCAAGGGAUACACACAUCAUCAUUGGUAUGAGGCAUGGUGUUUUUGAGUGUCAACAUUCACACAGAACUCUAAUAAAGAUUUGAGUCAAGCGGUACCACACACUAGUGUUUCUGAGUGUACCCUUUUCAUUUUGUUGUCUUCUCUUCUGAAUAAAAAACAAUUGCUGAUGUUGCAAUACAGGAACAAAUUGACACACCAUCAUUAAAUCUAUUCUCAACGAUUCAAACCUUUCUGCAUCUCAUAUGUACGAGAGCACACAAAUUCUAAGGAAAAUGUAAACUUGAGCUGAUCUUAUGUCAAACCAAUUUGCAAAUCAUCGAUGAGAAUUCUGAAUUAUCGGUAAGUUUCUUGCAGGAAAUGUCAAACAGCAAAUGAUUAUUCAAAACAGUCACUUCUUGCGAAAUCUGCACUAUGUCUCUUGUUUAAUCAUGGACUUGUCACAUAAGGAUCUUGAUGACCCAUCACUACUGUGCACUCUAUGGCGCUAGUCCAGUAAGCUUAUUUCAGCGGCCAAUCGACAGCAGAUCUCACUCGCCUCAGGUGGAUCCCAGUUAGCUGGGACGAAUCCCGACAACGAAUCCCGACUACGCUAGGUGAUCUUGUAAUUCAUUCUGGGUCAGUACUGACGUAAGCAAGGCCUGAAAAGUGUUAU